UGGGGAAUAUUGCACAAUGGGCGAAAGCCUGAUGCAGCGACGCCGCGUGAGGGAUGACGGCCUUCGGGUUGUAAACCUCUUUCAGCAGGGACGAAGCGCAAGUGACGGUACCUGCAGAAGAAGCACCGGCUAACUACGUGCCAGCAGCCGCGGUAAUACGUAGGGUGCAAGCGUUGUCCGGAAUUACUGGGCGUAAAGAGUUCGUAGGCGGUUUGUCGCGUCGUUUGUGAAAACCAGCAGCUCAACUGCUGGCUUGCAGGCGAUACGGGCAGACUUGAGUACUGCAGGGGAGACUGGAAUUCCUGGUGUAGCGGUGAAAUACGCAGAUAUCAGGAGGAACACCGGUGGCGAAGGCGGGUCUCUGGGCAGUAACUGACGCUGAGGAACGAAAGCGUGGGUAGCGAACAGG
rnacentral:rRNA from 3 species